GAUUCCAUUCUAAGCGGUGGAUCACUAGGCUCGCGGGUCGAUGAAGAACGGGGCCAGCCCCGAGAAUUAGUGCGAAUUGCAGACACAAAGAGCAUCGACUUUUCGAACGCAUAUUGCGGUAUCGGGCCCGCUCGAUACAACGCCUAUCUGAGGGUCGAAU
rnacentral:rRNA from 1 species